UAGACGCGAAAAGUGUCAUGACAUGCCGACUUUGUGAAUGACCAAUUUUUGAACGCACCUUGCACCUAUCCUUGGGAUGGGUGUGCUUGUGUGAGUGUGGGACGGAGCUUGGUUAAAGAUUGCCAGAGAUGAGGCGUGCGAACGAAAAUAGCUGCCUUGAAAGACAUGGCGAGCACGUGAUGAGCGCCCUGGGAUACAUCUACAGGCAGCGAGUCACGUGUUCGGUAACGAGAGUGUGAGUGAGACGGUAAGAGAGAAUUUUAUCUCCCUUUUCACGUCUCACACCCCCACCUCUACUUAUCACCCACCUCACAUCAAGCAAGACCACCCGCUGAACUUAA
rnacentral:misc_RNA from 1 species